GACGAACGCUGGCGGCGUGCUUAACACAUGCAAGUCGUACGGUAAGGCCCUUUCGGGGGUACACGAGUGGCGAACGGGUGAGUAACACGUGAGUAACCUGCCCACAACUUUGGGAUAACGCUAGGAAACUGGUGCUAAUACUGGAUAUGUGCUCCUGCUGCAUGGUGGGGGUUGGAAAGCUCCGGCGGUUGUGGAUGGACUCGCGGCCUAUCAGCUUGUUGGUGGGGUAGUGGCCUACCAAGGCGGCGACGGGUAGCCGGCCUGAGAGGGUGACCGGCCACACUGGGACUGAGAUACGGCCCAGACUCCUACGGGAGGCAGCAGUGGGGAAUAUUGCACAAUGGGCGCAAGCCUGAUGCAGCAACGCCGCGUGCGGGAUGACGGCCUUCGGGUUGUAAACCGCUUUCAGCAGGGACGAAGCUUUUUGUGACGGUACCUGCAGAAGAAGCACCGGCUAACUACGU
rnacentral:rRNA from 1 species